AGUGAACGCUGGCGGUAGGCCUAACACAUGCAAGUCGAACGGCAGCACAGUAAGAGCUUGCUCUUACGGGUGGCGAGUGGCGGACGGGUGAGGAAUACAUCGGAAUCUACUUUUUCGUGGGGGAUAACGUAGGGAAACUUACGCUAAUACCGCAUACGACCUACGGGUGAAAGCAGGGGAUCUUCGGACCUUGCGCGAUUGAAUGAGCCGAUGUCAGAUUAGCUAGUUGGCGGGGUAAAGGCCCACCAAGGCGACGAUCCGUAGCUGGUCUGGGAGGAUGAUCAGCCACACUGGAACUGAGACACGGUCCAGACUCCUACGGGAGGCAGCAGUGGGGAAUAUUGGACAAUGGGCGCAAGCCUGAUCCAGCCAUACCGCGUGGGUGAAGAAGGCCUUCGGGUUGUAAAGCCCUUUUGUUGGGAAAGAAAAGCAGCAGGUUAAUACCCCGCUGUUCUGACGGUACCCAAAGAAUAAGCACCGGCUAACUUCGUG
rnacentral:rRNA from 1 species